rnacentral:lncRNA from 1 species
UUUGAACUCCGGACCUUCGGAAGAGCAGUCGGGUGCUCUUACACACUGAGCCAUCUCACCAGCCCAAUUCCAGAAUUCUUAUUAAACUUUUGUAAUAUUUUUUUCAAUUACUAGCAAUUCAUAGGAUAUUUUAGAAUAAAGGUUCUCAAAAAUCUGCUCCUUGGUAAUGAGCUUGCCUAGCACGAUGAAUCCCCGAGUUUAUUGAUCCCUUUACAACACAAAAAGGGAAAACUCUAGUCUUUAGGCCAGCAUCAGCUUCCCUUGGAAGCUUGUUAGAAAUACACAUUUGCAGGCUUCUUGGGCUGCUGGAAUAGGACUAGGUAGUUUUGUUUGAAAAAAAAAAAAAAAAAAAAAAAACCUUUAAGUGAGUGCUUCCUAGUUUGAAACCCCGUCUUAGUAGUAAUAGGACUGAGUGGUGGUGGUGGUCUUUCUCUUUUCAUCUUAAUGUGUGCAUGUGCGCAUGUGCAGCUGUACAGUGAGAGCAGAGGUUGCCAUCAGGUGUCUCCCUCAAAUUGCUCUUACUGAGUUCAGACCUUGAUAAUUUGGAUACUCUACCUAGCCAAUUUAGUAUGGGGAGCCCAUAUAUCUGCCCCUCAAGCACUGGAAUUCAGAGGUGACUUCUAAGCCCACCCAGGGUUUUUUUGUUUUAUUUUUUUUAAGUAGGUGGUAUAGAUUCAAAUUUUGGUUCUCAAAUUUGUAUGAAAAAAAGCUCUAUCCAUGAAUUUAUCUCCCCAAAUUCUAUAAGCUUUUUAUUUUUUAUGGCAGUGCUAAAAGUUGAAUCCAGGGUUAUGCUUGGAUAUGCUCUCUCAUAAAAGUACUUUUUACUCAGUCGACAUAAAGAAACUAGUCCACAUCGUCACCCAUAGUAGCCUGAGGAGUUGCUUUAUUUUUUAGGGACCACCACUCAGGUAAAGCUAGAUCCUUGGCGCUGCCAGAGAAGAGUUUUAAGUUGGGCCAGUAUGAAUCAAAGUUGGAGAUUUAUUAAAAGACAUUUCUAACAUAGAUCAUAAGCACAGGGACUACUAGAAAGAGAUGCUGGGGAAGAAAGCAAAAAACUCCAGAGUUUGGAUAUGGGCUUUCUAGAGUGUAGUCAUUUGUUAUCUUACUGUAGUCAAAUACAGUAUGUUGGUGCUCUGGAAUGGUUUUUCAGAGGAUUGAAAAGAUCUUGAGGUAUGCCUGACAGAAUUUCAAUUACUAGUGUAAAACUAAGUCAGGGGAGGGGAGAUGUCUCUGUGGAUGGAGUACUUGCUUCACAAGAAUGACACCUGAAAUCGGGAUCUCUAGCACCUUCAUAAAAGCUGGGUGGACAUGGUGGCUUGCCUAUAAUUAAUACCAGAACACUUGGGAAGCAGAAAUGGAAUUCCUAGUAACAAGCUGGCUAGACUAACCAAACCAAGGCCAGCAAAUGGCUCUGUCGGGAAAGGCACUUGCUUUGUAAUGACCUGAGUUCAGUUCCUGGGAACCAGCUCCUACAGAUUGUCCUCGUGAGAGCACACAGGCACACACACACACACACAAAUACAAAUGGAGUAGACUAGCUGAACUGUAAAUUCUGGAUUCAUGCAGAGACCUUGCCUCAGUAAAAUAGAAAGUGCCUUUGAAAAACAGCUGAUAGAUUCUCAAGGCCUGCUUGGUCUACAUAGUAAGUUUCAGGGGUUAUACCUAGAAGUUCUGUCCC